GUCCGUGUAUCUUUUGGUCAUUGGAUUUUCCUUUCUGAAACGGAUAUUAAAAAACAAAAAACAAGUGGUUAUUUGAUUUUUGUUUUAAAAUACAAAAUUUAAAAUUAAAAUACAAAGCGUUUCUCUUUUUCAGUGUCAAACAGAGAUGAGCGAAAUUUUAAAAAUGAUUUGAAUUUCAAUUUCUAUUUCGGAUAUCAAAAAAUAAAAUUACUUUAAAACAGAAACCAAAAAAGGCCCGUUUGUUCAUAUUCCGAGACCGGAUGUGGUUAGCACUCACGUGACAAGACCGCCACAUUUGACAGAGUUGUUAAGAAAUUGUGCUGUGACUGUCACUGAUGUGCCAGGUGUGCUAAUUGAGCGUGAUCAUAGAGCAGACAUGGAGCAAUACGUUGUUUUUCGAAACAAUAAAAGAGUCUCUCUCAGGGAAGAAGACAUGACUGCAGAAAAAAAUAAGUCGCAUUUUCCAGGUAAAAAAUGUUUGAAGCUAACGUACGAACUCUAAGGAUAGCUAACGUACUAACGUUCGCUGGCUAAGCCGUAAAACUUUUCUUUUAACGGAAACAUGGUGGUGUCUGAUUUUAAGAAGUUAACCUCUCAGUAGUCACUGAAAAAUAUUAGCACUAAUUGAGAAAAGUUUGGAAAUAAACACUUGCGGUUAUUUGACUUAUGAAUUUCUUGACAGGUCUCAGCACAUAGUCUAUACGUGACUGACGACGCAAAUGUGGCCAUUUUUCCUGGAGCUUCUGGUUUUUUUAGCACAUUGGACCUUACACCAAGAGCUCACUAUGAGGUUCACGGUGAGGAGGAGGACGCCUCAUCAGCUUCAAAUGCCACAGCUCGUUUUACGUUCAUGCGAUCACCUGCGACUGCUACUAACGUUACUCCUAGUCCAUCAUCAUCUGCUCAGCGGGCUGCCUCAGCCCCCCUCAGAGCCACUGCCUCUAAAACAUUUCAAAGAUCGGUUUUUCUUGCUGAGGUGGUUGGUGGGAGGCUGAGUCCCAGCAGAAUGGUGGUGGUCCGGUUUUUGGAAUCUGAGGCUACCCUUCAGGGGAUAAUCGGUAAAGUUCAAGAUGCCAUUGGAUGUCAUGACCCAAUGGUAUUGACUGAUGUGCAGGGGAAUGCAAUUUUGGAGUCUGAAGGCACAACUGGGUCCCAGUACUGGAAACAAAAUGCUAGAAAGAUUCUUGCUAUACAAGAACAGGCCUUCCAGGAGGUACAGGGCUCUAAAAGGAGGAGAAUGAGCCGAAAAGAUGAAGAUGCUGCUGGAAUUGGAGAGGUCACUGAGAAGAUAGAAGAGCUUGUACUGGCAUCACAGACCUUACCAGAUAUCACUGCAGCAAUCAGAGAGCUCACCAAUCUAGCUGCCACUCAAAGAGUGAUCCUGACUCCUUCCCAGCUACAGACCAUCAAGCAAGGAUUCUGCUGUGUUAUUUGUAUGAAAUUCAUCGAGGAGCCAGUCUUCACAGAGUGUUGCCGGAGCAUUAUUGGCUGCAAAACAUGUGUGGUACAGUGGCAGGAGACCUCUGUGCACUGUGCAAAAUGUAGAGGGAACACUGCAAACAACACCAUAUUUGAAAUUAAUGGUCUGUCAGAGACAUUUUCUGUUCUGAGAUCCCUUUUUGAAGAGGAGUAACGUUGAAUUUUUACACAAAUUUAAAGUUAACAGUCUUCAAGUUAAAUAGAGCUAAUGGCUUUUCACACAUUGCGCUGAGUUGUGGUUAUAAGACAGAGCAAUGCCUGUUUGUAUGGGGCAAAGUCAUUGUUCACUGCUCUAGAGUACAAUUCUGACAUGUCUGAAUAAUGCUCGGCAAACUGGUUCUCAACUGUAAUCUUGUCCUGUUCAGUUGAAAAUGGAUCAACUCCAAAAGUUGAAUGCCUGGUCAGUGAUGAUCCCAGCUGUUGGCUGUAAAGGUCUGCUGCUUCAGCUGAAUGAGGCAACAGCUCCUGUUGGAUUUUUUUGGGACACCCACGGCCAGCCAAGUCAUUUGGUGUUCC
ensembl:lncRNA